rnacentral:tRNA from 1 species
GGUCCCAUCGUCUAACCGGUCUAGGACACCACCCUUUCAAGGUGGAAAUCGGGGUUCGAGUCCCCGUGGGAUCACCA